CACGUAGGGCGCAAGCGUGUCCGGAAUUAUUGGGCGUAAAGAGCUCGUAGGCGGACUGUCACGUCUGCUGUGAAAAGCUGGGGCUUAACCCUGGCCUUGCAGUGGAUACGGGCAGACUAGAGGUAGGUAGGGGAGAAUGGAAUUCCCGGUGUAGCGGUGAAAUGCGCAGAUAUCGGGAAGAACACCCGUGGCGAAGGCGGCUCUCUGGGACGGUACUGACGCUGAGACGCGAAAGCGUGGGGAGCAAACAGGG
rnacentral:rRNA from 1 species